rnacentral:misc_RNA from 1 species
AAGGAGCACUUCUCCAUGGUCUCUUCGAAGAGUCGAAGAGGGUUGUGGCAGAGGCCAUUUCGAGAGCGAAUGUUUCUCGGUGGUUGCUCAUGGGUGGAACGCUGACAUGCGCCCCGGUGUGGCCGGCAGCCUGUGUGCUGUGGGUUCGGGGAUGUAGUCGACACACUGUUGGGUCCUGAAAGAACAGGCGUUCUUUCCAGGCAAGAUAACGACGAGGCUGAAUCUUCAGUUCAUACCGGCUUCGACUCUUUCGGGGGUUGGGGUGCUGGUGCUGGUCAGGGUUUGGUUUUGUGUGUUGUUUGAGAACUGCACAGUGGACGCGAGCAUCUUUGUUU